CCUAACUGUUUGGUUCGGGUCGUCUCGUCGAGCCUUGGGGGGUUUAAUUUGACGAGGGUGUGUUCGAUGAAUCGCUCUUCUCCCGGCGGCGCGGCUCGACGACGCGGAGGCUAUCCAGCGGCGGGCUGCUGCUUCCACUACGACUUCUCGUGGCUCAGCGACGGCGAUCUCCGGUCCUCCCCGUCCCCCGUUCGACUAUGGAGGUUGACCGUCAGUUCUGGUAGAAAUAAUAUAAUACCGGGGCCAUGAUUUCCCUCAGCUCAAUGUGUCGAGUAUUCCUACUCUACAGGCAUGCUUUCAAUUGUCAUCGAUUUUCUGAGGAUGGUGGAAGGAACAUCUUCUAUAUAUGCUGUCAAGUGUCAACUCAAUUUCAAACGAAUGGAAUGGAAUGCCCUUCAUCUCUCUGCAAGCGAGGUGCUUUUCAAACGUGUAGCUGCAAGUGAAGUAUGCUUCAGUGUGAUGAAGCACUGCAAGAAACAUGUACAGUAGUAUACCUGCAUUAGAGAUGUCAGAAGAUGGUAGGCUGGGGCAACUCAAUUGCCGUAAUUAAUCAUCUGAGGUACAAAUCAAACUAGAGAU